UAAGUCACUUUGUCUUUAUGGCAAAUGUGAGAUGCAGUGUAUGGUACGUCUAUUAUCUAGUAUGAGAAAUUAAUGAUUUAAGUCCUUCUUAAAUGAAGCCAUUUACCCAUAGAGGGUGCCAGGCCCGUAUAACGUUAAUGAUUACUAGAAGAUGUUUCCAAAGAGUCGUGUUGCUUGAUAGUGCAGCACUAAGUGGGUGGUAAACUCCAUCUAAAACUAAAUAUAACCAUGAGACCGAUAGUAAACAAGUACCGUGAGGGAAAGUUGAAAAGAACUCUGAAUAGAGAGUUAAAUAGUACGUGAAACUGCUUAGAGGUUAAGCCCGAUGAACCUGAAUAUCCAUUAUGGAAAAUUCAUCAUUAUAUCUAGAAUAUUGAUAAUAUUAUUGAAAUAGUGUGCAUUUUUUCCAUAUAAGGACAUUGUAAUCUAUUAACAUAAUUAUAUAUUUAUCAAAAGAUCAUUUGCUUAAGUUUAUUCAAAUUAUUUUACAUUUGUAUUUUAACAUAGAAUAAAUGCUUAUGAUUUGAUAAAGUGUUGAUAGAUUUAUUAUAUAUAGUGCUUAAAUUCUUUUGAAUUUUACAAUAGCAUGAUUUUCUUAUGAUUUUUAUGUUUAAUUGUAUGCACUUAUAUGAUUAACAAUGCGAUAGAUUCAGGAUACCUUCGGGACCCGUCUUGAAACACGGACCAAGGAGUCUAACAUAUGUGCAAGUCAUUGGGAUUAUUUAUAUAAACCCAAAGGCGUAAUUAACUUAACUGUUAUUAAUGGGAUUAGUUUUUAGUCUAUUUUUAUAGUCUAUUAAUUCAAUCCCGGGGCGUUCUAUACAGUUAUGUAUAAUAAUAUUUAUAUUAUUUAUACCUCUAACUAGAGCGUACCUUGAGCAAAUAUGCUGUGACCCGAAAGAUGGUGAACUAUACUUGAUCAGGUUGAAGUCAGGGGAAACCCUG
rnacentral:rRNA from 1 species